AGAAUAGUCACUCAGAAAAGUUGCCGGCAUAAGACCAGCAUUAUAGGCACGAGGAGAUAAACGAGAAGAGGUAGAAGCAAAGCCUCUAUCAAGAAAGCAACAUUUUCUGGAAAUCACUCAGGUGACUUCCGUCUGGAUCUCAUUGGCAAUAAUCGCAUUACAUGGUCACCUCUACCUGCAAGGGAGGCUGGGAGAGUUUUCAGCUGGGUAUAUUGCUGCCUUAAUCAAAAUCAAAAUCAGCAAAAAGUGGGGAGUGGAUAUUUAUAUGCAGUAUGAGUAUAUGCUGUGGGAGAUUAAGAAAUAUGCCUAAGGCACAAAACUGUGAAGCCAGGACUUAUUUAACUUCAGGUAGUCUGACUCCACAACCCAUAUUCUACACUUCUAGAAAAAUCACAAUGUAUUAAGGAGUGAAAAUGAUUGUCUAUAAGUGUAUACAAGAAAAUUUAACUUCAGCCCAU
rnacentral:lncRNA from 10 species